UCUGAGUACCAAACUUUAAAGUACUAUUACUUAUAAAAAAAGAACUAUCUUUAAUUAUUCAAUAAAUAUUAUGAAAGAUUAACUCAAAAGCUUCAAUUUUUAUCGAUGAAAUUUUUUAAUACAUCAAUAUAGUUAUUGAUAAUUAUUAAAAUAUAAGUGUCUUUAAAAAUCUCCAUGCUAGCACGACAAAGGAUAAACGUGUAUAAAUAAACUAUAAGACGUGCACUUUUUAUAUAAAAAUCAAUUGGAAAUUAAAGAAAAAACAUGUCACUUUUCAAAUCUCCAAGAGAAAUUGGAAAAUAAAUUAUAUUUUUCAUAUUAAAAAAAAAACACUAGAAAAACACUGCGUAUUUUUAUUCAUUCCUUUGUCGUGCGCUGUCAUAACUUUAAUAUUUCAAUAUAGAUAUCAAUAAAAAACGGAUGAAAACUUACAGUUUGGUAGGACAAAAGUGUAUACCUAGCCAUUUUUUUAUUUACUUUUGUUUAAAAUAUGUAUUAAUGGAUUUCGUACAAAUUUCCAUUGUCGUGGAGCCCUUUGUCGUGUCAAAACAUUUGCACGUGGUAGGUGCGAAACAAGUAAAAAGUGUGUCCGUGCCUAAAACUUUUUUUAAAAUAGUGCCCCUGGAUGAUACGCCUCUGAUAAGAAUGCCUGAAAAUUAGGAGUACUUGCAUUUUCCUGGAUCACCCAUCUAAUGGGUUUUCUCGACAAAGAAGAGGGAAACUGUAGAAAACCUCUCCUAAGUACAACCGAUUUAUCGACAGUCGAGUUCUAAUGGUGUGUACCGUAAUAUAUUCGACAAUGCACAUAAUGUGUGUAAACACCGGACUAUAGGGAGAAUCGAAGCGCGAUCACCAAGUACUAACGCAGAGUUAGUAGGUCUGCUUAACCUCGACGAUCGCAAGCCACAAAGUCUCACCACCACGAUAUACCAUCAAUUUUAUUGGAAAAUCAAACAUUCUUUUUGUUCAUUAAUUUAUUUAAACAUUAAUUUUUCAAUGUUUAUUUUCUUGAAAACAAAAAAAAAAUUUCUCACAAAAAAUAUUUAUACAAAAGUUUGUAAAUGCCCUUAAAAUUCCUGGACAUUACAAAGAGGUGUUUUUUCAUAUUCGUAAUAAAUUAGUUUUUGAAUUUUGCGUUGCAUGGCCCGAUCCAUGCAGAGUAUGUGUAUGUGUCUACCAGUUGCUAAGUGUUACUGUAAAAGAUGCUUGAAACAUGUAAGAUGUCAAAUAUACUUGGAUAUUUUAGUAUUUGAAUUCUUGUUUUGUAUUAGUUAAAAUUUUUAAUCAAUUUUGAAAUCUAACCAAUUUCCUCUUCAGGGAGUCAAAAAAAUUAAUAAAUAAACAUUCGUCAGCAAGUAAAGGUUAAGAACAAAUUUACCCAUCAAACCUCUGAAAAAACAUAAAGUAUGGAGUCAUAGUUAGACGUUUAAUGGAUAAAUUGGUUUUAAACCUUCACUUGCUGACGAAUGUUUAUUUAUUAAACUUAGAAAUUUGUACUACAAGGUAGCAAAUAUGGAACAACAAUUUUAAAAGGACUACUCCAACUGUAGGGUAGAUCGUACAAACCUUGCUCUAACCUGACGCUGACAAGGGAAACAAUUCUCUUCGUAUACCUUGGAAAACUACAUCCCCGUGGGCACACUUGUUCAGAAGACGUCCUAAGGAUGUUUUUUGAAGACGUCUUUUGGACUUUGACAAAAUACAUCUUUAAAACGUUCUAAAAAUGUUCUGUCUCGGCCAUCAGAUUUUAACUUUUUGCGAAAAUAGAAAAAUUGGCAUAAAUAUAAAAUAUUACUUUCUAAGUUUGACUUUGACUUACAAACUGAUAAAUAUAAAAAUCAUUGGAAUUUUUCUUUAAUUUAAAUUUAUUUCAUUUAAAAAUGAGAUAAUUUCCUAUUUAAAAAAGAACAUGAAUUUUUAAGAAACUUAAGGAAGCACUUUUUUCAAUUUCGAAUUCUUAUUAUUUCUAUUUAAAAAAGAACAUGAAUGUCACAUCCCAGUAAGAAGUAAGAAAUUAAUAAGAAUUCGAAAUU